CAAACAGAGGAAAUAUGGGCCAUGGAGCACAUGGUCAUGCUCACUACAUUAUCUUAGUGAUAUUUUCACAAACAAACAAACAAACGACAGUCUCUGGUCUUGAUAAGGAUUGAAGAAACCAAAUCCAGGAAGAGUCGACAGCCUUUUACACAGAGAAGAGAGCAGGCUAGGUGUUUAUAAGUCCUUCACCUUAUGGGGCUCCAUCUGUACCUGCGAUGAGUGAGAAAGCUGCCAUUGGCAUGUCCUGAUCCAUCACAUCCCGGCGUGGGGCAGGUCGGGCCCUCAGACUUGAAGGCCUUCCAGGAGAAUGGUGUGCCAUUUAACAUGCCCUCCUUCUGCCGGCGUGCUGCCAGCGGGCACCCAUAGGCACUGCGGUGGGUGGCGUAUUUCCCACUGAUAUGCCCCAGACUGUCACAACCUGGCACCGGGCACC